UGGGGAAUAUUGGACAAUGGGGGCAACCCUGAUCCAGCCAUGCCGCGUGUGUGAAGAAGGCCUUUUGGUUGUAAAGCACUUUAAGCAGUGAAGAAGACUCCAUGGUUAAUACCCAUGGACGAUGACAUUAGCUGCAGAAUAAGCACCGGCUAACUCUGUGCCAGCAGCCGCGGUAAUACAGAGGGUGCAAGCGUUAAUCGGAAUUACUGGGCGUAAAGCGAGCGUAGGUGGCUUGAUAAUUCAGAUGUGAAAGCCCGGGCUUAACCUGGGAACGGCAUCUGAUACUGUUAGGCUAGAGUAGGUGAGAGGAAGGUAGAAUUCCAGGUGUAGCGGUGAAAUGCGUAGAGAUCUGGAGGAAUACCGAUGGCGAAGGCAGCCUUCUGGCAUCAUACUGACACUGAGGUUCGAAAGCGUGGGUAGCAAACA
rnacentral:rRNA from 1 species